GAGGUGGGGUUGAGGGAGCCCAGGCGUUGGCACCUGCAUCUGUAAUGCUGCUGAUUUGCCCGCACCUCACUCUCCGGAAAGAGCAUCUCAGGAAAAGAAGUGAAUGCUCAAAAGCAGCAGUGCGAUUCGAGAGCUCGUGUGCCAUCUCCGUGGGAAGGGGCGGAGGACGGACGCCACUGAGAGGAGGGUGGCGGAUUUUCAGGAAAGGCCAGCUGGGACCUCCCGUGUGAUGUUCAAGGGCCCCACAAAGUUCUGCUCUACCAUGGCCAUGAAAAAGCUCCCUGACUUGGCUCCUGGACAACACCAUCCCUCGGGUUUCCUGUUAUCCUGAGAAUUGAGUGUCUUCAUCCAGGAUAUUUUCUCAGGAUAGACUUCCAGAGGUGGAAUUUCUGGAUCAAAGAAAGUGGACAUUUACAAGAUUCUCAGCACACUGCCAAGUGCACUGCCCUCGAAGGUACGCUCAUGCCCACCCUCCCCGGCGGGUGCCCCGGGGCCCCUGGUGGCCUCAGUAAGACUCUGUUAGACGGGCUCUGCAGUCAUUAGCAGGCUCAAGCGUGAGGUACGCAUGCAUUUUAUUUUUGUGUUUCUUUGAGUAGUAAUGCCGGGGCACAUUUUUUCCUCUUGGAGUCACCUUUCAAUGGCAGGUGAUUAAUAGUGGGUGGAAUGAGCGAGUCAGAGAACUUCUUCCACCUCCCUGGGGGGCAGCUGCUGGUGGCUGCCAAGAAUUCCAGCUCAGCUCGGCUGUUCAAACACUCCAGCCUUGUUUUCUUUUUGAGACUCAAAAAUCUCUGUGAGUGGGUGAGAAAACCCUUCAUAUAAACAAGGAAAAAUAUCUUUCUGGCGGUACAUUUCAAGAGGGCAUUGAAAGGAGUGGAAGAAGACCUGUGGCAGAAGGCUCCUUGUCCCUCCUGGGCAGCUCCGUGUCUCACGGCCUUGGCCCGUUCUGCAGUUUCAUAAGGAAGAGAGGGCGGGCUUUUCCUCCCUUUUUAUUGAUGAGGAAGUCCAGGCUCAAAGAGGACAGCCUCCUGCCCUUGCCCCACGUCCUCUCCCAGGAAGCAACUGUCUCCUUCAGCUAGCGACAGCAACUGCAAGAAGCCAGCAACAGGUUCACUUCAAAGGUCAGGCCGCAGCUGGGUCUGGCAGAGGCCGCCUGGAGUGGGGUGUGGGGAGGAUGGUGCCGCUCAGCCUGGCAGAGUGGGAGAGCGUUAUAAUCAACUGGCGAUGCCUGCCAGGCACACAGGCGGUGGGAGGGCGUCCACAGGCGCCCAGUGGUGAGCAGGUGCCAGCAUCGCCCGGGUGCAGGUAUCUACAACAAAUGUGAGCCUGCCCCCUCCGGAGUCUCCAAGACCCCAUGUCUUCUCCUAGGGAAAUUAGAAGGUUGGACAUCAGCACCCAUAUUGGUUUCUGUGGCCUUGUGUGGAGUUGGUUGUUUUGCCUCCUUUCUGUAUCAUAGUCCUAUGUGGGCCAGGGUGGAGUUCCGACCUGAGAGGGGUGUCAGAGCUGAGCCUUUGUAAAUCAAUGAAUUAAGAAACAUCUACCUUUUCCGGCCUCCUGCCUCCAUCCUGCCCUCUGCAAACAUGCCCAGCUGUCCCACCCCAAGACUCCGGUGCCCUGAGUCCUCUGCACAGAGAAGAGGGUUGUGCAGAGCCUCGCUCUUCCCUCUGCUUCCCCCGUGCCUGGAAGGAUGUGUGUGGCCGAGGGCUUUGCAAUACUUCAUCCUAAAGAAUAAAACUUGAAUUGUGGAAUUUCUGGUUUACUUGAGGUUGAAAAUUUAGGUGGAAUGCCUUCCCUGGGCGUCUCAAAUGCCCUGUCGGCAGGCUGUAAGAGGCAGCCCUUCUCAACCCGUUUGUGUUUCCCCUCUUGGAUUCUAGCCAGGUAUCUUUUGUCCCAGAGGAGCAGAAAAUGUGUCCACAGAAUGCUGAAGACCUUGCUUCAGAGGUCAGAAGACCUUGUGCAGAGUUCAGUGACAAAGGCGGAUGGGCAGUCUUCAUCCAUGAACCCAACAGAUCUAUUCUGCACUUCGGUUGCAGCGGCUAUGGUCUUCUGUACACACGGCCUCCCAUAACCAAGGCAGAGUCAGGUGGAUUCACAGUUGUGUCAAAAGUGGGCUUUGCUUCUGUCCUAAGGGAUCUGUUAUAGGGUGCUUUUUCCUAUUCAGGCCUCAGCAAUUUCUAGACCAUCUUUCUUCCAGAGUACACCUCUCACUCAUCUUCAAUGUUAACUGCUAACAUGUUUUGCAAAUCUGACCAUAUCUGCACCCUGUUCACUCCUGUAAGUCCUUCCAAGGUCUCUCUCCCACCCACAAGGCAACAUCCAGGCCCCAAAGAAUGGCAGCCAGACCCCCCAUUACCUGGUUCUUUGUGGUCUCUGGAUCCAGCCUCAUCCUGUUCACUUCUGCACAGGACUCACGUUCCAGGUAUAACAGCACACCGGAAGUUUCUACACGCACCUCUGUUUCUCUGCAUUUCUCACUCCUUCAUCCUGCUCACUCCUUCAGAACCAGGCUCAGAAUUUCUCCUCCAAGGAUCCUUCCCUGACCUCACUCAGGCCUUAAGAUCUCCUUCCACUGUGGACUUUCACAGCCUGAGCAGAUUGAACACGUUUUCUGUUGUGGUGAGUGUCCUCCAGGGCAGUGGCUGGGCCUGGCUCGCCUCUAAAUCUCUGGCACUGUGCCUGCAGUGUAGCAUAAACCCAGAGAACAUGUGUGGAAAGAAUGAUGGAAUGCACGAAGGUGCAUCACUGCCCGGAUGCUGAGGUCCGGAUGCUCACCAUCAUUCUGUCCUGAUGUCUCCACUUGUAACCCAUAGAGGACAAUGUCUAAUGGACAACAGCUGUGAAUUCAAUGCUCCUUCGCUGGAGGAAGGCACGGCCUGCCCCUGGGGUAUCUCCGAGGUCCACAGAGUGCUCAUGUUGAGAGCGCUGAAUAUAGAACUGCUUGCUAAGUACUUUUUGACUUGGAGAGAAAAAGAAUAAUAAUUUUAGCUAUCUGAAAACUAAGAGGUGGCCAGAGUGUUUGGUUUGACGUUAAAGACCAGAAGGACUGCUUAUCUUAAGCAUCUUUAAAGAUCUUUAAUGUUGGCCGGAAGAGAUUUUUGGAUCACAGGAGGACCUUAGAAAUAGAGGCUGGCGAAUUCCGUGCAGCCUCAAUGCCAGGGCUCCGGGGGUCUGAAUUCAUCCACAGACUGCGACAUUCCCGCAGUGUGUGCCCUGAUUUGUUAUGUGAUAGCAAACCAAUAAAAACACCCAAGCCUGCAGCCCUCUCUCUCACGCAAAGGGAUGGAGAAAAGCUUUCUGCUUGAAACUCCCUCAUAGGUCUCAAGAAGUGGAAGAUGCUUUCUGGCUUGCUGGUGAGAAGGCAGGGUGCUUUAAAGGGUUCUGAGCCCAGUUACUUCGCGUGUUGCCAGGGGUACACGCAUGUGCACGUUUAUUCAACAAGUGUCUCCUGAGCGCUCGCAGGCCAGACGCUCUGCUCUCCAUGGGCUUCUCACACUUCUCAUAUCUUGCGAGUGAGGCACGACCUGCCCUUUGCUCUGGACUACCUUUUCAGGGAUGUUUGUGUAGCAAGCAGCCUUGGAAGAUGGAGGAAGGGCCUCCCCCAGAGCAGAGGGCAGGCCUGCUCACUCCCCAUUGAGAGUCUCUGCUUCGCUAGCUCAGGGCUCCUCUUCUGGAACUCAACCUGCCAUGUGGGCAAGCAUCCGUCUGGGACUGUCCACACUGCCACGUGGGACUGGGGGACAAGGAGAACUGAGGCAACAUGCUGAUGCUCAUGCCCUUGUUGUGCUGAGGGUAACAAAGCUCUCCGUCUUGGACCCAGGAGCCUUGCGGCUUCUGUCAGCAGCCACGAAGUGUUACAGGCAAGCAGGUCACGUUGCGUAGCCUUCACAGGUCCUCACACGCUCAUAUCCUUAUUGGAUUUUAUAUUCAAAACACCCUAAAAUGCAAAUAUUUUUAUCUUCACUUUGUUGAUUAGAACUGAAGCAGAGAAGUUAAGUAACUCUUCCCACGUCACAGAGCUCGUUAGUGCCAGAGGGGAGAUUUUUGUUCCCCCCCCAUCUCACUCCAGAACCACACUCUUUCCAUGAUAUGUUGACGUGUUAAAGUGCAAACACUGCAGUGCCUGCAGUUCUGUCCAUGGGCCGGGCCCGUUCAAAUCCUGUGGGCCCUAAAUCAUUCCAUUGCUGUGAUGAUAAAAGUGCUCAGGCAGAGAACGGAAAACGAUUGAGCAAUGUCUCUCCCCGAGGACACACACAGGACAAAACCACUGGGAGUCCCUCCCACGGAAGGCCGUUCUCUCUCAUAUUUACAGAGCGGUUGGCUUGGAGCCCUGACCUGCUGCCCUUUCUUCUGGUGGACAGAGGGGAUGUGUCUUCCACCAGGCAGGAGGGGUCGGGUCAGGGGACAUCCAGACUCGACAACUGGGCCGCUGGAGCAGUGGGCGUGCAUGAGGCGUGUCUCCAGCCCCUGGGCAGGGUCCAAACCUGGAUCAGCCUUUAGAAGCCCCCUUGUACAUUUCCACAGUGCAUUUGAUCUUGUGUUCUGUUGAAUUUGAUCAUUCCCAUGUCCUUAUGACAAAGACCGACCUGUUCCUUCAGCGGUUCCCUAUUGCCCAUGGGGCGAAGUCCUAUUUCUUAGCCUGGGCCCAAGGCCCUCCGUGGUCCAGCCUCAGUUUACGGUGCCCCAACCCAAACCGCCCUCUCCUCUGCAGUCUUUUCCAACUCCGCUUGUUCCCCAGGUGGAACCUGCCCCUCCACUUCUCCUUGGUGUUCACAUUUAUCUGGAUCACUUCCCUCACGGCAUCCAGAACACCUUAGGGCUGCCUACAUUUGCAUGUUUAUCUUCUCCACCGAGCCAUGAACCCCUUGAAGCGGGGCCUGUUAUAUUCAGCCGUCAUCCCCACACUUACAGAGGCACCUAAUGCAUGUUCGUGGAUUGCAGUUGUGGACUCAGACACACAAACACAAUGUGCAUUGAUCGAUUUGUCUCUGAGUUUGAAAUUUCAUCAUUAAAUACUCUUAUUUUGGGGUUUAAAACUUUUUAAAAGCACGAAUCAUUCAAGAAGGAUUAGUCUGGAUGUUUUGCUGUGCUGUAAUCUAGCUGAUCAUUUCCUCUCUGAUGAGAGUGACCCGGGUGGAGAGAUUCUUGGGGCUUAAGGUGUGGAUGAUGUGUGGUUACCCUGAAAACCAUCUUCAUCUUGCUAAUCAUUCCGCCAAGGGCCCAGAGCCCAGGACUCCACCUUGUCACCAACUCUCACCACCCAGAGCUGACCAGGCCAGCCCACACCAGGAAUGGGGUUGUUGGCCCAGGACGCCAGGUCACCGCUGGCCAGGGCCACGAGAUGGCGGAGAUCCCAGCACUGAGCCAGCACUGGGAGCAUUUCAGCAUCCCUGAGUCCUGGUGGGCCUGCUCAGCUCCCACAAGGAGCUCCUGCUGAUUCACCUCACUCCAGCCUGCUGGUCAGACACACUUGCGUUCAAAUGCCCCCCUGGCCGUUAGGAGCUGUGUGACCUCCGGCAAGCCCUUCGAUCUUCCUGAAUCUCAGUUUCUACGGGUCUAAAGGGAGAAUGAGGCCAUCCACCUGCCAGGGUUAUUGAGAGGCUGGAAGGCAGAACCGCGUGCAGAGAAGCUGGGAUUUC